GGCCCUAUCGUCUAGUGGUUAGGACGCCAGGUUUUCAUCCUGGCAACGGGGGUUCGAUUCCCCCUAGGGCUA
rnacentral:tRNA from 1 species